GACGAACGCUGGCGGCGUGCCUAAUACAUGCAAGUUGAGCGAUGAAGAUUGGUGCUUGCACCAAUUUGAAGAGCAGCGAACGGGUGAGUAACGCGUGGGGAAUCUGCCUUUGAGCGGGGGACAACAUUUGGAAACGAAUGCUAAUACCGCAUAAUAACUUUAAACAUAAGUUUUAAGUUUGAAAGAUGCAAUUGCAUCACUCAAAGAUGAUCCCGCGUUGUAUUAGCUAGUUGGUGAGGUAAAGGCUCACCAAGGCGAUGAUACAUAGCCGACCUGAGAGGGUGAUCGGCCACAUUGGGACUGAGACACGGCCCAAACUCCUACGGGAGUCAGCAGUAGGGAAUCUUCGGCAAUGGACGAAAGUCUGACCGAGCAACGCCGCGUGAGUGAAGAAGGUUUUCGGAUCGUAAAACUCUGUUGGUAGAGAAGAACGUUGGUGAGAGUGGAAAGCUCAUCAAGUGACGGUAACUACCCAGAAAGGGACGGCUAACUACGUG
rnacentral:rRNA from 1 species